ensembl:snRNA U6 U6 spliceosomal RNA
UUGCUUAGGCAGCACAUAUACUAAAAUUGGAAUGACACAAAGAUUAGCAUUGUCCCUGAGCAAGAAUGACAUGCAAAUUUGUGAAGUGUUCCAUAUAGAA